CUGUUCAUUCAAAGUACUGCUAUUCGGAACUGAGAACCACAUUUAGACGAUUACUAUGUUUCAUCGUACUUAAUCAAACCAACAGUGGUGGGAAAUCAACCGUUUUUGUGUUAGAGUCCUCUUCAAAUGGGUGAGAGUCCCUGUACGUGUUUUGUCUUUGUCAAGGAGAGGUUAGAGUCCUCUUCAAAAGGGUGAGAGUCCUAACACGUGGCUUGUCUUUGUCAAGGAGAGGUUAGAGUCCUCUUCAAAAGGGGUGAGAGUCCCUGUAGGCCUACGUGUUUUGUGUUUAAAAAAGGAGAGGUUAAAAUACACUCCAAGGGUUAGAGUCCCUGAACUUGUUUUGUGUUCAUAAAAAAGGAGAGGGUAAAAUCCACUCCAAGGGUUAGAGUCCCUGAACUUGUUUUGUGUUGAAUAAAAAUAGAGAGGAGUGUGGUGUGUUUAUU